GGCUUCAAAGGAAGAUGCUGAGGAUGCCCAUCUUAGGGAGCUUCUGAAACAAGGUCAAGCUUAUGCCAAGGACCUUAAUCCUGAACCGGCUAAGAACAAAAAAAGGACCCCAAAAAACAGGUUCAGGAUUAGUUGGAGAAAGAGAGAUGUGCGGGGAGUAUUAGUCCCACAAACAACCAAAUGUCGAUCUUCAACUGCACCCAGGGCUGGAACGAAGAAAAGCAAGGACACUGUCAGUGACACACAGGACCUUGUUGAGGACAGGGAUCA